GAUGAACGCUAGCGGCAGGCCUAAUACAUGCAAGUCGAACGGGAUCUGAGGGUAGCUUGCGACCCGAUUUGAGAGUGGCGCACGGGUGCGUAACGCGUGAGCAACCUACCCAUAUCAGGGGGAUAGCCCGAAGAAAUUCGGAUUAACACCGCAUAAUAAUACGCUAACACAUGUUGAUGUAUUUAAAUAUUUAUAGGAUAUGGAUGGGCUCGCGUGACAUUAGCUAGUCGGUAAGGUAACGGCUUGCCAAGGCGACGAUGUCUAGGGGCUCUGGGAGGAGAAUCCCCCACACUGGUACUGAGACACGGACCAGACUCCUACGGGAGGCAGCAGUAAGGAAUAUUGGUCAAUGGGCGCAAGCCUGAACCAGCCAUGCCGCGUGCAGGAUGACUGCCCUAUGGGUUGUAAACUGCUUUUGUUAGGGAAUAAACCUUCUUACGUGUAAGGAGCUGAAUGUACCUAAAGAAUAAGGAUCGGCUAACUCCGUGCCAGCCGCCGCCGUAA
rnacentral:rRNA from 1 species